AGAAAACUUUGGAAUCUUGAUGAUUGGUAGGGGAAUGCAGAGAACGUUUUGCUGCGAGGUGGAGAACGGUUGGAAGGAAUCCCUCUCUCAAGGGAUUGUUAUCGUAGGUCCUAAAGCAAGAACCAGGGACAAACCUUGGGAUAAUCUCUAAUCUUUGAUAUUUGAUUAGGAAAAAUACUUAAGAAGCAGCAUGACUCGGAUUUUGGUUCAACGAGGUUCAUCAGGAAGUUCUUCCAACUCGAGCCGCCCUUCUUCCUCAGGAACAGAACCACAGAUAAACAAUACUAUUCAGGUUCCUCCUGUUACUAUAGAUGAAGAAAUUACGGAUGAGAAACAAGAAGAGGUUACUAUAGUUGAAAAAGUAGAGUGUUCUGAUGCUAAGAAUGUAGCUCUGGACAGUAAUGAACCUGUGGAUAGAGAAGAUGAUGAAGGAUUGGUAGUUUCAGAAAAUGUUCAUGUUGAAAGUGAAGGUAUAGAUUGUGAUUCUCCAGUUAGUGGUGGCAGUAACCCUGAUUCACCACCCGUACCAGCUCCACCACCAAAACCUUCUUCGACUGUCAAUCCUGGGAAUAACAGAUCGGUCUUGGGAAGUUUUGACGCUUUACGAACUGGACCAACACGAAGAGGUUCUGGGCCUCGCUCUCUUGUUUCCAGUAGGAGUUCGCCAACUGGA
rnacentral:lncRNA from 1 species